rnacentral:rRNA from 1 species
GAUGAACGCUGGCGGCGUGCCUAAUACAUGCAAGUCGAGCGAAUGGAUUAAGAGCUUGCUCUUAUGAAGUCAGCGGCGGACGGGUGAGUAGCACGUGGGUAACCUGCCCAUAAGUCUGGGAUAACUCCGGGAAACCGGGGCUAAUACCGGAUAACAUUUUGAACCGCAUGGUUCGAAAUUGAAAGGCGGCUUCGGAUGUCAAUUAUGGAUGGUCCCGCGUCGCAUUAGCUAGUUGGUGAGGUAACGGCUCACCAAGGCAACGAUGCGUAGCCGACCUGAGAGGGUGAUCGGCCACACUGGGACUGAGACACGUCCCAGACUCCGACGGGAGGCAGCAGUAGGGAAUCUUCCGCAAUGGACGAAAGUCUGACGGAGCAACGCCGCGUGAGUGAUGAAGGCUUUCGGGUCGUAAAACUCUGUUGUUAGGGAAGAACAAGUGCUAGUUGAAUAAGCUGGCACCUUGACGGUACCUAACCAGAAAGCCACGGCUAACUACGUGCCAGCCGCCGCCGUAA